UACGUAGGGUGCAAGCGUUAAUCGGAAUUACUGGGCGUAAAGCGUGCGCAGGCGGUUCGCUAAGACCGAUGUGAAAUCCCCGGGCUUAACCUGGGAACUGCGUUGGUGACUGGCGGGCUAGAGUAUGGCAGAGGGGGGUAGAAUUCCACGUGUAGCAGUGAAAUGCGUAGAGAUGUGGAGGAAUACCGAUGGCGAAGGCAGCCCCCUGGGCCAAUACUGACGCUCAUGCACGAAAGCGUGGGGAGCAAACAGG
rnacentral:rRNA from 1 species